GGCGGGAGGCGGGGCCGCGCCGGGCUCUGUGGGUCGAUGUCAAUGUGUCUGUCCUUCACUCCUCCAUUGUCUGCCGCCGCCGCUGCCGCGGGUGCCACCGCCGCUGCCGGAAUCGCCGCAGCCUGCAGCCUCGCGCGUCGCCGCUACCUCCUCCGACAGAAAUUUUAUGAAUAAGCAUCAGAAGCCAGUGCUAACAGGCCAGCGGUUCAAAACUCGGAAAAGGGAUGAAAAAGAGAAAUUCGAACCCACAGUCUUCAGGGAUACACUUGUCCAGGGGCUUAAUGAAGCUGGUGAUGACCUUGAAGCUGUAGCCAAGUUUCUGGAUUCCACAGGCUCAAGAUUAGAUUAUCGUCGCUAUGCAGACACGCUCUUCGAUAUCCUGGUGGCUGGCAGUAUGCUCGCCCCUGGAGGAACACGCAUAGAUGAUGGUGACAAGACCAAGAUGACCAACCACUGUGUGUUUUCAGCAAAUGAAGAUCAUGAAACCAUCCGAAAUUAUGCUCAGGUCUUCAAUAAACUCAUCAGGAGAUAUAAAUAUUUGGAAAAAGCAUUUGAGGAUGAAAUGAAAAAGCUUCUCCUCUUCCUUAAAGCCUUUUCCGAAACAGAGCAGACAAAGUUGGCAAUGCUGUCGGGGAUCCUGCUGGGCAAUGGCACCCUUCCCGCCACCAUCCUCACUAGUCUGUUCACCGACAGCUUAGUCAAAGAAGGCAUUGCAGCCUCAUUUGCUGUCAAGCUUUUUAAAGCAUGGAUGGCAGAAAAAGAUGCCAACUCUGUUACCUCUUCUUUGAGAAAAGCCAACUUAGACAAGAGGCUGCUUGAGCUCUUUCCAGUUAAUAGGCAGAGCGUGGAUCAUUUUGCUAAAUACUUUACCGACGCAGGCCUGAAGGAGCUUUCUGACUUCCUCCGCGUCCAGCAGUCCCUGGGCACCAGGAAGGAACUGCAGAAGGAGCUGCAGGAGCGUCUUUCUCAGGAAUGCCCAAUCAAGGAGGUGGUGCUCUAUGUUAAAGAAGAAAUGAAGAGGAAUGAUCUUCCGGAGACAGCAGUGAUUGGACUUCUGUGGACCUGUAUAAUGAAUGCCGUUGAAUGGAACAAGAAGGAAGAACUGGUUGCAGAGCAGGCCCUUAAGCACCUGAAGCAAUAUGCUCCAUUGCUGGCUGUGUUCAGCUCUCAAGGCCAGUCAGAGCUGAUCCUCCUCCAGAAGGUUCAAGAGUAUUGUUACGACAACAUCCAUUUCAUGAAAGCUUUUCAGAAGAUUGUGGUUCUCUUUUAUAAAGAGAGUAAUCCCCUUAAAAGACCAGUCAUUUGAGGUUGCUGCUUAAUCAAGACGUGUGUGAAGUUGGCAGAACACAGAGUGUUCUGAAUUGCUGGAAUUGCUGAUUCAUUUGCAAAUACAAAAUAACCCACUUUCCUACCAGCACAUUAGCACUGGGAAGGAUUUCCAAGUCCCGGUAGUGAUUCACAGAUAAGCUUGCAAUAUAUCAUGCCUGAUGAGAUGUAUAUCAUCUUCAUCAUCAUCAUCAUCAUCAUCACUAAAGUAUUUGCUGAUCAAAUUCCCAAAAUACAGCACUGUGUUAAUAUGGAAAUGAGCUUGGUUCCUGUCUUCUUGAUAAAUUUCAGAUAUGGAUUUCUUUGAUAACAGCUUUUGAUAUUUAAACUGAUGUACUGAGUGAAGAAGCAAUAUUGAAAUGGUACAAAGAAGCACACGUUGCCAAAGGCAAAAGUGUUUUUCUUGACCAGAUGAAGAAAUUUGUUGAGUGGCUACAAAACGCAGAAGAAGAAUCCGAAUCGGAAGGUGAAGAAAAUUAGAUGGCUCAAGAAGCACAAUACCUAGGCUACCACACAACAC